rnacentral:rRNA from 1 species
UACGUAGGCAGCAAGCGUUGUUCGGAGUUACUGGGCGUAAAGGGUGUGUAGGCGGUUCUUUAAGUUUGGUGUGAAAUCUCCCGGCUCAACUGGGAGGGUGCGCCGAAUACUGAGGGACUAGAGUACGGGAGAGGAAAGUGGAAUUCCUGGUGUAGCGGUGAAAUGCGUAGAUAUCGGGAGGAACACCUGUGGCGAAGGCGGCUUUCUGGGCCUUACCUGACGCUGAGACGCGAAAGCUAGGGGAGCAAACGGG